rnacentral:rRNA from 1 species
UACGUAGGUCCCGAGCGUUGUCCGGAUUUAUUGGGCGUAAAGCGAGCGCAGGUGGUUUAUUAAGUCUGGUGUAAAAGGCGGUGGCUCAACCAUUGUAUGCAUUGGAAACUGAUAGACUUGAGUGCAGGAGAGGAGAGUGGAAUUCCAUGUGUAGCGGUGAAAUGCGUAGAUAUAUGGAGGAACACCGGUGGCGAAAGCGGCUCUCUGGCCUGUAACUGACACUGAGGCUCGAAAGCGUGGAGAGCAAACAGG